UACGGAGGGGGCGAGCGUUAUUCGGAAUUAUUGGGCGUAAAGGGCGCGUAGGCGGCUGAACAAGUCAAAGGUGAAAUCCCUCGGCUCAACUGAGGAACUGCCUUUGAAACUGUUCGGCUUGAGGCCGGAGGGGUAGCGGAAUUCCCAGUGUAGCGGUGAAAUGCGUAGAUAUUGGGAGGAACACCAGUGGCGAAGGCGGCUACCUGGACCGGUUCUGACGCUGAGGCGCGAAAGCGUGGGUAGCAAACAGG
rnacentral:rRNA from 1 species